rnacentral:misc_RNA from 1 species
GAGCUGAGAUAAAUCGUCGUCGAAUGGAAAGAGAUGAGCCCCGGCGAGCUGAGAUAAAUCGUCGUCGAAUUGAAAGAGAUGAGCCCCGGCGAGCUGAAAUAAAUUGUAAUCAAAAUGAAAGAAAUCAGGCUAGGUGAGAACUUAAUAGGUAUAAUAUGCAUCGCAUAGCAAGAAAUAAUAUUGCUAUAGAGAGUAACUACCUCGGAGAAUUAAACCAUAAUUGUCAGUAUUGCAGUGCAAAGAAGUUUUUAAAUGAAACUCAUUUUUUGUGCUGCCAUUCAAGAAAAGUUGUAUUAGCUCCUCUUUCUCUUUAUCCGCCAUUGUUGACUGGUUUAAUGACAGGAAACCAUGUUGAUCAUGCUGUAAAUCAAAAUUUUUUUAAACACAUAAGGAGUUAUAAUUCCUCUUUAUCUUUUGCUUCCUUCACUGCCGAAAUAGCUCCUCCCUCAAAUAAUGGCCCUUUCUGUUUUAGGGUCUGUGGGCAAAUUUUGCAUCGUGUUGGAAAUUUAAGGCCUGCAGAAGGUUGUCUGCCCAAAUAUUGUCAGCUGUAUAUCUAUGAUCCUAAUGCAGCUUAUUACAUUGAUUGAUUGUUUUUAUUGCAUUUUUAAUUUUCUUUUAUUUAUCUCAGCUGCUGCUUCUUCUGUUACAAGCUCGAAGUCAUGGGAAGAUUUCCGAAAGUAUCGCUCCCAGCAUCCAGGCCCUCUAUCUAUGAGGGCCUUCCAUCGCUGGUGUUUGUAUGGGGACGACCAUCCCUCCUUUAGAUGGAGGGAUGGCACACCAUACAACACGGGGAAUAGAGCGGAUGCUGGGAGGAGAAGACAACGUGGCUCAAAAGUUGUCAAUAAUUUUUUUACAUUUUAAAAUGUAAAGAAAUUGACAACUUUUGAGUCACUUCAUUUUUUUUUUUGUAAAAUAUUUUUGUAAAUUUAUUUUUGUGUUGUUUUUUA